GGAGAGGUGUCCGAGUUGGUUGAAGGAGUUAGUCUCGAAAACUAAUAUACGAGAAACCGUAUCGAGGGUUCGAAUCCCUCCCUCUCCG
rnacentral:tRNA from 1 species